UAUAUGUGUGUGUGUGUGUGUGUGUGUGUGUGUAUGUAUUUAUAUGUGUGCGUGUGUAUACACACAGACACACACACACACACAUUUA
rnacentral:miRNA from 1 species